ACGGGGUGUAGCAGGCGCGAAAACUUCACACUGUGCGAAAGCGCGAUGAGGGAAUCCCAAGUGCUUGCUCGUAAGAGUAAGCUGUUUUUAUGUUUAAAACGCAUAGAGAGUAAGAGCUGGGUAAGACGGGUGCCAGCCGCCGCGGUAAUACCUGCAGCUCGAGUGGUGGCCGCUAUUAUUGGGCCUAAAACGUCCGUAGCCGGUUUAAUAAAUGCCUGGGUAAAUCGUGUAGCUCAACUAUACGAAUUCCAGGUAGACUGUUAAACUUGGGACCGGGAGAAGCUAGAGGUACUCCUGGGGUAGAGGUGAAAUUCUGUAAUCCUAGGGGGACCACCAGUGGCGAAGGCGUCUAGCUAGAACGGGUCUGACGGUGAGGGACGAAGCCCUGGGUCGCAAACCGGAUUAGAUACCCGGGUAGUCCAGGGUGUAAACGCUGCUUGCUUGAUGUUAGUCGGGCUCCGAGCCCGAUUAGUGUCGGAGAGAAGUUGUUAAGCAAGCUGCCUGGAAGUACGCCGCAAGAC
rnacentral:rRNA from 1 species